AGAACGAACGCUGGCGGCAUGCCUAACACAUGCAAGUCGAACGCUUUUGGGGAUUUCGGUUCCCAAAGGAGUGGCGCACGGGUGAGUAGCGCGUGGGAACCUGCCCUGUUGUGGGGGAUAACCGAGGGAAACUUCGGCUAAUACCGCAUGCGCCCGGGGGCAACUCCGGGGAAAGAUUUAUCGCAGCAGGAGGGGCCCGCGUCGGAUUAGGUAGUUGGUGGGGUAACGGCCUACCAAGCCUUUGAUCCGUAGCUGGUCUGAGAGGAUGAUCAGCCACACUGGGACUGAGACACGGCCCAGACUCCUACGGGAGGCAGCAGUGGGGAAUAUUGGACAAUGGGCGCAAGCCUGAUCCAGCAAUGCCGCGUGAGUGAUGAAGGCCUUAGGUGUAAAGCUCUUUGGCGGGAGAUGAUGACGGUACCGCAGAAUAAGCACCGGCUAACUCGCGCCAGCAGCCGC
rnacentral:rRNA from 1 species